UCCGCCAUCGAACUCGACUACUCGAUCGAGUAUACCCUCCUCACUUGAUUGGCUGGAACUCAAUAGGAAGGCUGAUCUACAGAACAGAACCAUUCAGAAGCUGAGCUACACUGUUGAAAAGCUUAGAGACAAACUAAGUCAAAUGCAAAAGGAGGUUCAGCCCCAGGUCAACCGUGACACGAUUUCAAGAAAGUAGAUCACCUGGGAUUGGUCAGAAGAGAAAGACUAUCCUCCAGAGG
rnacentral:sRNA from 1 species